rnacentral:lncRNA from 1 species
CUCUUGAAUCCAUCAUCAGUGCUCUUAUUCACUAGUAAUAAAGGCUAUGUUGUAUGUUCUUUUUGUUAUAUGUCUUCUAUUAUAUGUUUAAAUAUAUAGACCUAGAACUAGGUGGGUUUUUAGAAAAUCUUUUAAUGAUAGAAUGUAGAAAUUAUCCUUAAGCCUAGUAAGCCUAGUACAUACAUUGCUGAUUUGCUAGUGCAGUUUUUAGGCACUUUAAUCUCUAUGACAGUGUAUCUGCAAUCACCACUUCACUUUAAAAAUUGAAUCCUAUUACUGGUCUUGAUUUUUAAUUAUUAUUGACCAUUAGAUGGUG